UGGUUCUGUGGUGUAGUGAUUAACAUGCCUCUCUGUCACAGAGGAGAUCGCGGGUUUGACUCCCGUCAGGACCGCCAUGGUUUCGUAGCUCAGUCGGUAGAGCAACGGACUGAAGAUCCGUGUGUCGACAGUUCGAUUCUGUCCGAAACCACCAU
rnacentral:tRNA from 13 species